AAUACCAAAAGAUUUCAUGAACCCUCAUUACAUAUUGAACGACUCCAUAAUAAUAUGGAAAACAUCAUGCUGGAACUAGUAACAAGAAUUAAAUAUUCUCCAUAAUGCAAACAUAAGCCGAAAUGGACAAACCAUCGGCAAUUAACGAAAAUGAGUAAGUUAUAACAACAAAACAAGAAAACCCUAUAUAUUUCAUCGUUAACCUGACACUAGAGCACUACAGGAAAGAUUAAAAGAGAAAGAAGGAACUCGGCAAAUUUCAGCCCCGCCUGUUUACCAAAAACAUCGCCUCUUGACAAACUAUAAGAGGUCCAGCCUGCCCAGUGAUAUUAUUCAACGGCCGCGGUAUCCUAACCGCGCGAAGGUAGCAUAAUCACUUGUUCUUUAAAUAGGGACUAGUAUCAAUGGCACCACGAGGGUUGCACUGUCUCCUCUCUCCAAUCAGUGAAACUGAUCUCCCCGUGAAGAAGCGGGGAUAAACUAAUAAGACGAGAAGACCCCAUGGAGCUUAAAAUCUAACAGCAACUUUGCCACAUAAUCCACCAUAUUUUACAGAGCCAUGCUAGCAAAUUUUAGGUUGGGGCGACCGCGGAGUAAAAAUCACCCUCCAUGACGAAAAGAACUAAACCUUUAUCUAAGAGCUACUACUCUAAGAAUUAGCAUACUAACGACCAUGACCCGAUAAUCGAUCAACGGACCAAGUUACCCUGGGGAUAACAGCGCAAUCUACUUUGAGAGUCCAUAUCGACAAGUAGGCUUACGACCUCGAUGUUGGAUCAAGGUAUCCUAGUGGUGCAGCCGCUACUAACGGUUCG
rnacentral:rRNA from 1 species